GGGAGGGCGGGCCUGUCUUCAUCCUCCUCAGUAACUCUCAUUUCUCUGGUGCUGAGCAGAAAAUUAAGGUUCCCACACUCGACGUGGUUCAUCAGCUCAGAAACCUACUUUGUGCAGCACCCCACCCCUGUCCCGGCCACCUGGGAAGGGCUUUACACUCGCUUGUGCAAAAGUGAGACUGCCGUGACCAACACUGUCGUCCAGUCGCCAUCUGGAGCGCCGUAUUCUCCCUGUGAGCAGUCGAGUUCCUGUGACAGGAGGCCUGUCCUCCAUGCUUACUAGAAGCGGCUCUGCGCUCCAUCCUCCUGCGGUAGAGGAGAGAUGCCCGAGGAGUGUUUUCUGCUCCACCUGGGGGCAGACCCACGUCCUCCCCGAGAGACCAGGCUGUGGCUACUUACAGAGGCGACUUUGGGAGGUGACCCGCCAGUGGUUGGGCCUGGAAGACCAGGGACAAUAUGCAGUAUUUUAAGGUGGGCUUGUCAACUCUGACCCAAACGUGUACAAAGUACAGAGUCAGUGUCUUUCAUUGAUGAUUAAUUAAAAUGUUACAAGAGAAUUUUGCUGGGAGCCAGCAUGAGGAACUCCGCCCAUGGCAAAGGCCAUGAGGAAGGAAGCUUGGCAUACGCAAAGGCAUGAUCAAGCCUCAGGAAACCCCCUGUUCCCGAGCAUCUACCCCAAAACCAGAGUACUUUACAGGGAGCUCUCCCCCAUAACCAUUUCUCUCAGAGAAGGAGUUAACUUGCAGCUCCAGUUAAUAAAAUUCCUGGGCGUGACAAGAGCGUUUCAGCUUACGAACUCUGAAGGUUCUCUGGCCUGCCUGAUCAGGCUCAUCCGGCCGCAUGUGAUUGUUUACAGCCUCCCAACUGUGAGAGGCACGGGAUGUUUUAAAACUUUCUAAAUACAGACUCUUUUGAGACGUUAGAAGAUCAUUAGUAUAGUAUUAGUAGGUUGAUUAGGAAUUACAUUGGUGAAGGGUUUUUUCAUUUGUCCUGCCAAUAAUUACUGCUAAUUCCCUGCCCUGGGUGUGACAAGGAUGUCUCAGGUCAAACCUCUCUGCUGACAGACUAGCUUGUGUGACAGCCUCUCAGCCAUAAACAGCACAGAGAGUUUGGAGUAUUAGCGUAGGGCUUUUUUCAUUGAUGAGUCAAUGAUUGCCAUCAGGCCUCCAUAUCCUUAGGCACCUGGGAAUAUAUUAAUCAAUGUAUUUGGAAUAUAGAAAAGGAAACAUAGUAGUUUUUGAUGUUGGCAAUACUAGACUUUUUGAGUUAAUGAAUCUUCUCUUUUGUUAUAGAUAACUGUACUUUGUUAUAAAUCACUAUAAAUCACUGUGUCCUUGCUAUGCAAAAAUGUAACUUUAUCACUAUCUUCAAACAAAAUAGAUCUUAAGGGGAACAUUGGUGAAGGGUUUACAUUUGUUGAGCCAAUAUUUGCUGCUAAAACUUCAUAUUCCUGCCCUUAUAAUGAAUAUAGCUAGCAUAUAGGAAAAAUAAGUAUUAACCUUUAAGAUUAAUCAUGUUAAACCUUAGGUUAAGUAAAUUCCUUUCUUGAUUGUAACUCACUACACCCUCACCCUAUAGGAAUGCAACUUUAUUUGGAGGGUGGCGCCUGAUUUAAGAAAAAAUCACCCCUGGAAAAAUAAGUUUUCUGGUUAACUGACCGGUAUCAAAAAGGGCCAUAAAAUGUCAGCAAACCUCGUGGCCAAAAGAUGAUGAAACUCAUAAGACCUUUGUAUAAUUUUAUAUGAAGCACCUGAUUGUGACAAGGGUCAGGUCUGCUGACCCCUGCGUGAC
ensembl:lncRNA